GGGGAAUAUUGGACAAUGGGCGCAAGCCUGAUCCAGCCAUGCCGCGUGGGUGAAGAAGGCCUUCGGGUUGUAAAGCCCUUUUGUUGGGAAAGAAAAGCAGCCGGCCAAUACCUUGCUGUUUUGACGUUACCAACAGACUAAGCACCGCCUAACUUCGUGCCAGCAGCCGCGGUAAUACGAAGGGUGCAAGCGUUACUCGGAAUUACUGGGCGUAAAGCGCGCGUAGGUGGUUCGUUAAGUUGGAUGUGAAAGCCCCGGGCUCAACCUGGGAACUGCAUCCAAAACUGGCGAGCUAGAGUAUGGCAGAGGGUGGUGGAAUUUCCUGUGUAGCGGUGAAAUGCGUAGAUAUAGGAAGGAACACCAGUGGCGAAGGCGACCACCUGGGCUAAUACUGACACUGAGGUGCGAAAGCGUGGGGAGCAAACA
rnacentral:rRNA from 1 species